UGCUGACAUUUCCCUGCUGAUCCUUUCCUCUCUCCCUACUCUCAAGAAAAUACAAGAAAAGUCUGACCUUGAUAGCAGCUGUCAGGCACAGACACCCUGCUACACUGAGCUCUGGAGACUUUCCCUACAGCAGACCGAGGCUGGGGGAGCUGAGGAGGUGGUGGGACCGGGAAUCCCAUGGAGAAAGGCUGUGUGACAUGACCAGCCCCCAGGAUGGAUGCAGACAACCCAAAGCCCUGAGCGCCUUUGUGUCAAGCCAAGUUCAAGGUCCUUCCAGACAGUGGGAAGCAUCCCCUGGAACCAACGCAAACAGUGACUGUGUUACAGAGAAAACGAGCGGCUGAAAGAUGUCACCAGAGGAGAAGCAUGAAGAACGUUUCUUCUCCUCCUGCUCUUUAUUCUUUCUUCUUGACACAAUGUCAGGAACUGCUUUUCUCUUUUCCUCCCCACUUCCUCACACGGCGUCUUCACAGCCAGCCUUUGGCAAAGGCGUUUUGGUGGCC
ensembl:lncRNA